rnacentral:rRNA from 1 species
UUGGAGGGCAAGUCUGGUGCCAGCAGCCGCGGUAAUUCCAGCUCCAAUAGCGUAUAUUAAAGUUGUUGCAGUUAAAAAGCUCGUAGUUGAAUUUCGGGAUUCAUCCGUUGGUCGGGCCUCACGGUCCGUACUGGUGUGAUGGGUUCCUACCUUCUGAAUAACCGGCAUGCCAUUAAUUUGGUGCGCCGGGGAAGCAGAACUAUUACCUUGAAAAAAUUAGAGUGCUUAAAGCAGGCAAGUGCCUGAAUAGGUUAGCAUGGAAUAAUAAAAUAGGACGGCAUGGUUCUAUUUUGUUGGUUUCUAGGAUCACCGUAAUGAUUAAUAGGGAUAGUUGGGGGCAUUAGUAUUCAAUUGUCAGAGGUGAAAUUCUUGGAUUUAUUGAAGACUAACUUCUGCGAAAGCAUUUGCCAAGGAUGUUUUCAUUAAUCAAGAACAAAAGUUAGGGGAUCGAAGACGAUCAGAUACCGUCGUAGUCUUAACCAUAAACUAUGCCGACUAGGGAUCGGACGAUGUUAAUUUUUUAAUGACUCGUUCGGCGCCUUACGGGAAAC